AAAUUGAAGAGUUUGAUCAUGGCUCAGAUUGAACGCUGGCGGCAGGCCUAACACAUGCAAGUCGAACGGUAGCACAGAGAGCUUGCUCUCGGGUGACGAGUGGCGGACGGGUGAGUAAUGUCUGGGAAACUGCCUGAUGGAGGGGGAUAACUACUGGAAACGGUGGCUAAUACCGCAUAACGUCGCAAGACCAAAGAGGGGGACCUUCGGGCCUCUUGCCAUCAGAUGUGCCCAGAUGGGAUUAGCUWGUUGGUGAGGUAACGGCUCACCAAGGCGACGAUCCCUAGCUGGUCUGAGAGGAUGACCAGCCACACUGGAACUGAGACACGGUCCAGACUCCUACGGGAGGCAGCAGUGGGGAAUAUUGCACAAUGGGCGCAAGCCUGAUGCAGCCAUGCCGCGUGUAUGAAGAAGGCCUUCGGGUUGUAAAGUACUUUCAGCGGGGAGGAAGGUGUUGUGGUUAAUAACCGCAGCAAUUGACGUUACCCGCAGAAGAA
rnacentral:rRNA from 1 species